rnacentral:rRNA from 1 species
UACGAACUGUGCGAACGUUAUUCGGAAUCACUGGGCUUACAGGGUGCGUAGGCGGCUUGUUAAGUAGGGUGUGAAAUCCCCCGGCUCAACCGGGGAAUUGCGCCCUAAACUGGCGAGCUGGAGUGAGAUAGGGGUGUGCGGAACUUCCGGUGGAGCGGUGAAAUGUGUUGAUAUCGGAAGGAACGCCGGUGGCGAAAGCGGCACACUGGAUCUCAACUGACGCUGAGGCACGAAAGCCAGGGGAGCGAACGGG